rnacentral:rRNA from 1 species
UAAGCGACUAAGCGUACACGGUGGAUGCCCUGGCAGUCAGAGGCGAUGAAGGACGUGCUAAUCUGCGAUAAGCGUCGGUAAGGUGAUAUGAACCGUUAUAACCGGCGAUUUCCGAAUGGGGAAACCCAGUGUGUUUCGACACACUAUCAUUAACUGAAUCCAUAGGUUAAUGAGGCGAACCGGGGGAACUGAAACAUCUAAGUACCCCGAGGAAAAGAAAUCAACCGAGAUUCCCCCAGUAGCGGCGAGCGAACGGGGAGGAGCCCAGAGCCUGAAUCAGUGUGUGUGUUAGUGGAAGCGUCUGGAAAGGCGCGCGAUACAGGGUGACAGCCCCGUACACAAAAAUGCACAUGCUGUGAGCUCGAUGAGUAGGGCGGGACACGUGGUAUCCUGUCUGAAUAUGGGGGGACCAUCCUCCAAGGCUAAAUACUCCUGACUGACCGAUAGUGAACCAGUACCGUGAGGGAAAGGCGAAAAGAACCCCGGCGAGGGGAGUGAAAAAGAACCUGAAACCGUGUACGUACAAGCAGUGGGAGCCUCUUUUAUGGGGUGACUGCGUACCUUUUGUAUAAUGGGUCAGCGACUUAUAUUCUGUAGCAAGGUUAACCGAAUAGGGGAGCCGAAGGGAAACCGAGUCUUAACUGGGCGUUAAGUUGCAGGGUAUAGACCCGAAACCCGGUGAUCUAGCCAUGGGCAGGUUGAAGGUUGGGUAACACUAACUGGAGGACCGAACCGACUAAUGUUGAAAAAUUAGCGGAUGACUUGUGGCUGGGGGUGAAAGGCCAAUCAAACCGGGAGAUAGCUGGUUCUCCCCGAAAGCUAUCUAGGUAGCGCCUCGUGAAUUCAUCUCCGGGGGUAGAGCACUGUUUCGGCAAGGGGGUCAUCCCGACUUACCAACCCGAUGCAAACUGCGAAUACCGGAGAAUGUUAUCACGGGAGACACACGGCGGGUGCUAACGUCCGUCGUGAAGAGGGAAACAACCCAGACCGCCAGCUAAGGUCCCAAAGUCAUGGUUAAGUGGGAAACGAUGUGGGAAGGCCCAGACAGCCAGGAUGUUGGCUUAGAAGCAGCCAUCAUUUAAAGAAAGCGUAAUAGCUCACUGGUCGAGUCGGCCUGCGCGGAAGAUGUAACGGGGCUAAACCAUGCACCGAAGCUGCGGCAGCGACGCUUAUGCGUUGUUGGGUAGGGGAGCGUUCUGUAAGCCUGUGAAGGUGUGCUGUGAGGCAUGCUGGAGGUAUCAGAAGUGCGAAUGCUGACAUAAGUAACGAUAAAGCGGGUGAAAAGCCCGCUCGCCGGAAGACCAAGGGUUCCUGUCCAACGUUAAUCGGGGCAGGGUGAGUCGACCCCUAAGGCGAGGCCGAAAGGCGUAGUCGAUGGGAAACAGGUUAAUAUUCCUGUACUUGGUGUUACUGCGAAGGGGGGACGGAGAAGGCUAUGUUGGCCGGGCGACGGUUGUCCCGGUUUAAGCGUGUAGGCUGGUUUUCCAGGCAAAUCCGGAAAAUCAAGGCUGAGGCGUGAUGACGAGGCACUACGGUGCUGAAGCAACAAAUGCCCUGCUUCCAGGAAAAGCCUCUAAGCAUCAGGUAACAUCAAAUCGUACCCCAAACCGACACAGGUGGUCAGGUAGAGAAUACCAAGGCGCUUGAGAGAACUCGGGUGAAGGAACUAGGCAAAAUGGUGCCGUAACUUCGGGAGAAGGCACGCUGAUAUGUAGGUGAAGCGACUUGCUCGUGAGCUGAAAUCAGUCGAAGAUACCAGCUGGCUGCAACUGUUUAUUAAAAACACAGCACUGUGCAAACACGAAAGUGGACGUAUACGGUGUGACGCCUGCCCGGUGCCGGAAGGUUAAUUGAUGGGGUCAGCGCAAGCGAAGCUCUUGAUCGAAGCCCCGGUAAACGGCGGCCGUAACUAUAACGGUCCUAAGGUAGCGAAAUUCCUUGUCGGGUAAGUUCCGACCUGCACGAAUGGCGUAAUGAUGGCCAGGCUGUCUCCACCCGAGACUCAGUGAAAUUGAACUCGCUGUGAAGAUGCAGUGUACCCGCGGCAAGACGGAAAGACCCCGUGAACCUUUACUAUAGCUUGACACUGAACAUUGAGCCUUGAUGUGUAGGAUAGGUGGGAGGCUUUGAAGUGUGGACGCCAGUCUGCAUGGAGCCGACCUUGAAAUACCACCCUUUAAUGUUUGAUGUUCUAACGUUGACCCGUAAUCCGGGUUGCGGACAGUGUCUGGUGGGUAGUUUGACUGGGGCGGUCUCCUCCUAAAGAGUAACGGAGGAGCACGAAGGUUGGCUAAUCCUGGUCGGACAUCAGGAGGUUAGUGCAAUGGCAUAAGCCAGCUUGACUGCGAGCGUGACGGCGCGAGCAGGUGCGAAAGCAGGUCAUAGUGAUCCGGUGGUUCUGAAUGGAAGGGCCAUCGCUCAACGGAUAAAAGGUACUCCGGGGAUAACAGGCUAGAUACCGCCCAAGAGUUCAUAUCGACGGCGGUGUUUGGCACCUCGAUGUCGGCUCAUCACAUCCUGGGGCUGAAGUAGGUCCCAAGGGUAUGGCUGUUCGCCAUUUAAAGUGGUACGCGAGCUGGGUUUAGAACGUCGUGAGACAGUUCGGUCCCUAUCUGCCGUGGGCGCUGGAGAACUGAGGGGGGCUGCUCCUAGUACGAGAGGACCGGAGUGGACGCAUCACUGGUGUUCGGGUUGUCAUGCCAAUGGCACUGCCCGGUAGCUAAAUGCGGAAGAGAUAAGUGCUGAAAGCAUCUAAGCACGAAACUUGCCCCGAGAUGAGUUCUCCCUGACUCCUUGAGAGUCCUGAAGGAACGUUGAAGACGACGACGUUGAUAGGCCGGGUGUGUAAGCGCAGCGAUGCGUUGAGCUAACCGGUACUAAUGAACCGUGAGGCUUAACCU